UAGCUGGGAGACACAAUGCUUGUUUACAGAGUCAUGGUCCUUACUCACAAGGCGAGCAGAAGGCGCUGGGAGUCUGUACGGCUGUGAGGAACGGCAAUGAGAAGUGACACCCUGUCCAACAAACCAGAAUCUUGCUGAUUCAUCCUGCUUUUCUUUUCAUCUCCGGACCAAGGAUAUUUACACAUUCUGCUUUCCACUUCUGACUUUGAGGCUGCAAGUUGCAUUUAUUCAUCCUGGCCUGCAGCACUUUACAAAAUGUUUAUUAAUGACAAUAUUAAACUCAGGUCCUCAGAUGGAUAUACAAUCCUAUAUUGUAGAAGAAUUUGUAUAAACUGCUUGCAGUAUCUUGACAUGUCAAAUAAAGAUUAGACCGGUUUGGUGAUCUUUCUCACAAGUACAAGUAAUCUCUUCUCAG